UGUUGACGGCUCUGCAGAAUUCGGACUCGUGCGCUCCCGCAGUUGCGUGAGUCACUUUUACAAUUUGAUAAUAAGAGACAUCUCUCAUUGAUUCUGUUUCCAAGGAGAACCCUAACUAAUACAAUACCCAUGAAAAUGCUGGAAUGAAUCAUCAAACAAUCAAUCUGUACAAAUUUCCACAACCACAGGGGAUUAAGCCAAGACAUCCAUGGGGCUUUGUGAAGAACCCAAUUUCCCCAUAAGUAUGGUGAGAAGCUUAGGAGAGCAGGGAGAACCAAUGAACAGGACCGGCCCCAUGGGCUCUCUCCCACUCUUGGACAGCAGUGGCUGGUGACACUCCCUGGAGAGCCUGUUGCUUCAGCCUGGGUCCAGGAGCAAAGACAGCAGAGGAGAGCCCCACUGACUCAUUGCAGAUGAAUUUAUAGCCAUAGAUGAAGUGAGCAAGGCUUUGCUGUUUAAGCUGUCAGCAUUAGGGGGUGGUUUGUUAUCACAGCAUAUCACAAGCUCACCUAACUUCAGAGGCUGUCAAUCAUGCGUCCCCAUCUAAGGCAUGGUCCACACUUGGAGAAAUGCAAUCCCAGAUGCUGAUGAGUUCUUGGCUGGUGCAGCCUAGACAACGUUGGGGGCUGCCACUAAUGGAAGUGUUCGCCAAAGCAGCCGGCCAGACCUCGCUCCAACCCUGACACUUGGAAAACAGAGGAGCUGAAGCCCACGCAUUCACGUACUCACCUUCUCAGCCACAGAAGGGGGUUCCAGUCUUGUCACUGCCACUUACUAAUUAUUGCAUGAACACCUUGAGCAAGUUACUCAACUAUGCUGCCAUUUCCUUCAACCAUGAAAUAUCUAUUUUGACUUUGAUCUAAAUAAUGGAAUGUGAUCAAAGAGCAUGUCAUAGCAACAGGCUUACAUGUUGCCUCAAUUAAUGAAGGAUAGUAAUAAUAAUUGAGAAAUGAAUUGAAUUGCUUUGUUUCCUAUAAAAACACAUUGCUUCUGAAACAAAUAAUAAGUAAUAUUUUGUUGGUAUGUCAAAACACCUUUAUGAACAAGCAAUAAAGAAAUUUAACAGUUUCCUCAGAAA